UACAGAGGUCUCAAGCGUUGUUCGGAUUCAUUGGGCGUAAAGAGCUCGUAGGCGGCCUGUUGCGUCCGCUGUGAAAUCCCGGGGCUCAACCCCGGGCCUGCAGUGGAUACGGGCUGGCUAGAGGCAGGCAGGGGAGAACGGAAUUCCUGGUGUAGCGGUGAAAUGCGCAGAUAUCAGGAGGAACACCGGUGGCGAAGGCGGUUCUCUGGGCCUGUACUGACGCUGAGGAGCGAAAGCGUGGGGAGCGAACAGG
rnacentral:rRNA from 1 species